rnacentral:rRNA from 1 species
UGGGGAAUAUUGGACAAUGGGCGAAAGCCUGAUCCAGCCAUGCCGCGUGUGUGAAGAAGGUCUUCGGAUUGUAAAGCACUUUAAGUUGGGAGGAAGGGCAGUUACCUAAUACGUAUCUGUUUUGACGUUACCGACAGAAUAAGCACCGGCUAACUCUGUGCCAGCAGGAGCGGUAAUACAGAGGCCCCAAGCGUUAUCCGGAAUCACUGGGCGUAAAGGGUGUCGAGGCGGUUGUAUUAGUCGUUCGUAAAAUCUACGAGCUUAACUUGUAGGCGGCGAACGAAACGGUACGACUUGAGGUUUGGAGAGGUGCGUGGAACUCACGGUGUAGGGGUGAAAUCCGUUGAUAUCGUGGGGAACACCAAAGGCGAAGGCAGCGCACUGGCCAAAAUCUGACGCUCACACACGAAAGCUAGGGUAGCGAAGAGGAUUAGAUACCCGCGUAGUCCCUGAGCGGGCUGGCAAGGCGCAU